rnacentral:lncRNA from 1 species
AUGUCCUUGUAAAUUCUUCAUACUCUCUUCCAUUUGUUUCAAUGCAUCUAUAUACCUAUGAAUCAAACAAGCAAAAGUGAAUUCAACAAUGGAUGCCAUGGUAAUAUUUUCACACAUCACACUUAAUGCAUGAGAAAAUAAUCCACCAAUUUAACACAUGCAUAUAUGCAUACAUGCUACUAGAAUAAGAAGAACAUGUGUUGCAAUUAUUCAUCUAAUUAAAGGGAAAAAGACUCAUGUUAAAACAAAGACUCAAUUUACUAUAUGAAAAUAAGUAAAUUGCUUCCAUAACUUUAACAUUUUAUUUAUUUAGACAAAACAUCUAUAAGAACACAAAAACAAACUAAAUAACUCAAACUAAUUAAAGACAAAUAACUAACACAUAUAAAUUAGGGAUAAUAAUAUGAUAUAAAAUGUGCUCAUCACCUACUAUGUUCCUAUCAUCAACAUAGAUAACUAUAAUUGCAAAUCCGGAACUCUUUCCUCUAUGAGUACGCAAGGGCAUAGUUCAUAAUUUUGUAUCCCUUUCCACUCAAGUAGUCACUUGUAUAAAGUGAGCGUUUCAAUUCUAAUUACAAACGCACUCUGUGGUUUAGAGUUACUUGAGUUGGAUAGUUUAAGGCCAUUGGGCACUUUUAUGGAUAUCUCCCAAUCAAGAUCCCCAUAGAGAUAAGUAGUAACCACAUAGAUGAGCUGCAUUUCCAUUAUGGGAGAUUAUUUCUCCUCGUUGUCAAUCCAGAGCGUUGCGAGAAACCUUGGCGCCACAAGGCGAGCCUCUUUCUGUAGGGCUUCAUUCUUCUCAUUACGCUUUAUGACAAAGACUUUUUUAUGUCCUACAGGCUUUACACUUGGUAAGGUUAGCACUACCAAACCAAAUACCUGUCUCUUUGUCAAAGAAUCUAGUUCUUCCUAGAUCGCACUUUUAUGUAGGCCAAUAUGCUCUUUGUUAACAUUUUUCAACAGAGCGUGGUUCGAUACCUUCAUGCUCUAUGAUUCCUUGAGCAACAGUGUGAAUCAUCAAUGUGUAUAUACUCUCGUAAUCUGUUGAGAUUUUGUCUCUGGAAUCAUUUUAAACAUCGGAGCGUCCUCCAGUAUUGAUUCAUGGACAUAAUUGUAAUCAAAGACAAUCUCAUGAGAGAGAUUCUUUACAUUGAUGAGGUUGUGCCUUACUUACCCAAUUCCUUUAGGCAAGUAUUGAUCGAACCAAGUGGCCUCCCCCUAUUCCCUUAGAGAGCCACGGCCUUAACCACACCUCCACUAAGUGUGGUUGCAUAGCCUCUAUCUGCAGCGACGUGCCCCUUAUUGGGGACUUUUAUCCUUGCAGGUCGUUUGCAGCUAACAUGUGUGAUCUCGUCACUU